GUUGUGGCUCAGUGGUAAAGCGCUUGCCUAGAAUGUGUGAGGCACUGGGUUCAAGUCUCAGCACAACA
rnacentral:tRNA from 1 species